CGUGGGUAACCUGCCCAAGAGAUCGGGAUAACACCUGGAAACAGAUGCUAAUACCGGAUAACAACGGAUGAUGCCUAUCAACUGUUUAAAAGAUGGUUCUGCUAUCACUCUUGGAUGGACCUGCGGUGCAUUAGCUAGUUGGUAGGGUAACGGCCUACCAAGGCGAUGAUGCAUAGCCGAGUUGAGAGACUGAUCGGCCACAUUGGGACUGAGACACGGCCCAAACUCCUACGGGAGGCAGCAGCG
rnacentral:rRNA from 1 species